ACGAACGCUGGCGGCGUGCUUAACCCAUGCAAGUCGAACGGAAAGGCCCUUCGGGGUACUCGAGUGGCGAACGGGUGAGUAACACGUGGGUGAUCUGCCCUGCACUUUGGGAUAAGCCUGGGAAACUGGGUCUAAUACCGAAUAGGACCACGCGCUUCAUGGUGUGUGGUGGAAAGCUUUUGCGGUGUGGGAUGGGCCCGCGGCCUAUCAGCUUGUUGGUGGGGUAAUGGCCUACCAAGGCGACGACGGGUAGCCGGCCUGAGAGGGUGACCGGCCACACUGGGACUGAGAUACGGCCCAGACUCCUACGGGAGGCAGCAGUGGGGAAUAUUGCACAAUGGGCGCAAGCCUGAUGCAGCGACGCCGCGUGAGGGAUGACGGCCUUCGGGUUGUAAACCUCUUUCAAUAGGGACGAAGCGCAAGUGACGGUACCUAUAGAAGAAGCACCGGCCAACUACGUG
rnacentral:rRNA from 1 species